GAUGAAGAACGUAGCGAAAUGCGAUACGUAAUGUGAAUUGCAGAAUUCAGUGUAUCAUCGAGUCUUUGAACGCACAUUGCGCCCCCUGGUAUUCCGGGGGGCAUGCCUGUCCGAGCGUCAUUGCUGCCCUCAAGCACGGCUUGUGUGUUGGGCCUCCGUCCUCCUCCCGGGGGACGGGCCCGAAAGGCAGCGGCGGCACCGCGUCCGGUCCUCGAGCGUAUGGGGCUUCGUCACCCGCUCUUGUAGGCCCGGCCGGCGCUUGCCGACACAUCAAUCUUUUUUCCAGGUUGACCUCGGAUCAGGUAGGGAUACCCACUGAACUUAAGCAUAUCAAUAAGCGGAGGA
rnacentral:misc_RNA from 1 species